GGGGUCGACUUGGCUUUCGACGGGAGUUUGUGAGCUUGAAUGGCAUGUGGGUCUGGACACACCCCAAAACUAUCCGCGUCAAGUAAACGCAAACAAUACAAACUACGCUCCAGCUUACGCAAAAGUCGCGUAAGUUUAACAACUCUUCGGAGCCGAUUUGCUUGGAGAUUCUAGCUAUCCAUGCAAAUCGUCAUAGCCCGCUAGAUGCGCCCUUUUGUUGCCGAGCAUUGGGGCAAAGAUUCUAGGUUGCGUUGCUGUUUUGUUUUGGCUAGUUUUAAGGGCAGCGACAAAGUUUUAAACUACGCCUAAGCAUGUAGAAGUUUAAGUGGUCAGAUUUUCGGACUGGGGUUCGAUUCCCCACGACUCCACCA
rnacentral:tmRNA from 1 species